rnacentral:rRNA from 1 species
CCUACGGGAGGCAGCAGUGAGGAAUAUUGGUCAAUGGGCGUACGCCUGAACCAGCCAAGUCGCGUGAGGGCAGACUGUCCUAUGGAUUGUAAACCUCUUUUGUCGGGGAGCAAUUCGCGCUACGUGUGCCCUUCUGUAGAGUACCUGCAGAAAAAGCAUCGGCUAACUCCGUGCCAGCAGCCGCGGUAAUACGGAGGAUGCGAGCGUUAUCCGGAUUUAUUGGGUUUAAAGGGUGCGUAGGCGGAAUGCCAAGUCAGCGGUAAAAUGUCGGGGCUCAACCCGGGUCCGCCGUUGAAACUGGGGUUCUUGAGUGGGCGAGAAGUAUGCGGAAUGCGUGGUGGAGCGGUGAAAUGCAUAGAUAUCACGCAGAACUCCGAUUGCGAAGGCAGCAUACCGGCGCCCAACUGACGCUGAAGCACGAAAGCGUGGGGAUCGAACAGGAUUAGAUACCCCAGUAGUC